rnacentral:rRNA from 1 species
UACGGAGGGUGCAAGCGUUAUCCGGAUUCACUGGGCUUAAAGGGUGCGUAGGCGGGCAAGUAAGUCAGUGGUGAAAUCUCCGGGCUUAACUCGGAAACUGCCGUUGAUACUAUUUAUCUUGAAUAUCAUGGAGGUAAGCGGAAUAUGUCAUGUAGCGGUGAAAUGCUUAGAUAUGACAUAGAACACCGAUAGCGAAGGCAGCUUACUAGAUGUUAAUUGACGCUGAGGCACGAAAGCGUGGGGAGCAAACAGG